UGGAGGCAAGAUAGCUGAAGGUGCCAUGGGAAGGAGCAUCCACCUGAUUUGUUACUUAAUUACUAUCAUGGUGUGCACAGUACUGAGUCUGUGAUUGGAUCCCUGUUCCAGUGUCCUGACACCCCCUUGCAGUAAGUGCUUUGUGCAGCUGAAUGGCUCAGAGGAAGGGCCGAUGCUCCUGAGAGAGGGCCCAUUUAUUUGAGAUGGAUUUUGUGCAAAGUUUGGAAUGUGGUGUGUGCUUCUAUGCAGACCAUGGGUCCAGUGCGUGAGUAAAAUGAUAACUUCAAGGCGGUGCUGUGGAAUCAUUGAGCAUGCAACUGGAGUCUCAAUUUAAUGGCCAUGAUUUUGUUGUACUCAAAUCAUCAACUGUCAUCAUUACAGGGUAAAUCUAAUCGUGGCCUUGGGUGACCAUAAAUCAACAUGAAAUUAACAUCAGCUUCCAUGCUCACUUUUUGUUGCUCGUGCUGGUAGAAUUGUCAUUGAAAUUACUGCAAUCACAAUACAUUUGGGAUACUUCUCAACUAACCAAAUCCACAUUUCCUGCUUUAUGUAUCCCAACAUUGACUCUAUGUAGUAAAAAUAAAGAUGU